UACGGGGGGAGCAAGCGUUGUUCGGAUUUACUGGGCGUAAAGGGCGCGUAGGCGGCCACCGCAAGUCGGUUGUGAAAUCUCCGGGCUUAACCCGGAAAGGUCAAUCGAUACUGCGGGGCUAGAGUGCAGAAGGGGCAACUGGAAUUCUCGGUGUAGCGGUGAAAUGCGCAGAUAUCAGGAGGAACACCGGUGGCGAAGGCGGGACUCUGGGCCGAUGACUGACGCUGAGGAGCGAAAGCGUGGGGAGCAAACAGG
rnacentral:rRNA from 1 species